ACUCCUACGGGAGGCAGCAGUGGGGAAUAUUGCACAAUGGGGCGCAAGCCUGAUGCAGCCAUGCCGCGUGUAUGAAGAAGGCCUUCGGGUUGUAAAGUACUUUCAGCAGUGAGGAAGGUGGGUAUGUUAAUAGCAUACUCAUUUGACGUUAGCUGCAGAAGAAGCACCGGCUAACUCCGUGCCAGCAGCCGCGGUAAUACGGAGGGUGCGAGCGUUAAUCGGAAUUACUGGGCGUAAAGCGCAUGCAGGUGGUUUGUUAAGUCAGAUGUGAAAGCCCGGGGCUCAACCUCGGAAUUGCAUUUGAAACUGGCAAACUAGAGUACUGUAGAGGGGGGUAGAAUUUCAGGUGUAGCGGUGAAAUGCGUAGAGAUCUGAAGGAAUACCGGUGGCGAAGGCGGCCCCCUGGACAGAUACUGACACUACAGAUGCGAAAAGCGUGGGGAGCAAACAGGAUUAGAUACCCUGGUAGCCGUAG
rnacentral:rRNA from 1 species